AAAACAGAGUUCAAAAUUCAAGGUGUGAAAGGGCGAUCAGUGCGGUCCCUGCCCGGGCACCCUCUAGGUAAGGAGGGGUCACCCAGCCCUAGCCCACUUCCUCAGCCCUGGGCCUUCAACCCAGGCCCACUACUCCGCCCUUUGUUCCCUUCCUUACUCCCCUCCUGGUCCCUGAAUCCCCUCCGCCUGGGCUAGGCCCAGCCUACUGUCACUUUGUGUUCCUGGACUUUGACCCUGUCUUCACCGGGAGAGAACCUGGCUCCUGGCAUCAGAAGAGGUGACUUGGCCAUGGUCCCCUAAUGCUAGCAGCUCUUCUGGAGACCAAUUGUGUGACAGAGGUUAGGAUGGGGAGCACUGAAGUAGGGACAGCCUGCCUGUGUAUCCCAGAGUGGAUGCCCCCAGAGCCACAGCUGUCACCCCAGGAGCAGGGCUGUGCCCUGGAGCUCCUCCUGCAAAGGUCCCCGGCUCAUCCUUGAGGAGGCUGCCAAAGGUGUCCCUGUUCACGCCCAGCAGUUUCCCUGUGACUCUAGCUGUCCUCCUCCAGCUGCAAUCACCUGUCCUCGUCUCCGGCCCACAGUACACACAUCUGCACCUGCAAAGAGGCCCUGGGAAGACAAAUAAAUCAAAGUUCCCCAAAGAGCUGAUGCUGGGACUCCAUCUUUGCUUGUGGCUUCCUGAACCGGGCUGGAGUGAGGGAUUCAGCUGUCCCCAGACCCAGGUUCUGCUGGCACUCCGGGCCCUGAAAGCCAGCUCUCCAACUUUUGAGUUUCCCCCAAGUGCAGCAAAGGUGCUUGGGCCUGGGAGAAGUGCACCGUGCCACCUCAUCUCUCACAGCCUGAGUCAAGGCCACAGUCCCCAGAAAGAGGAACAGACCCAAGCGGAACCCGGAACAGCUGUCCUCGCCAUCCCUGAAUCCUAGAGCGGGGAGAACAGCAUCGCCCUUUUGCAGGCUCCCCCGUGAGAGGAUUCUCGGGCAGCGGGGCGGCGAAGUGUUCGAACAGGAGCAGGAGGCAUGGUCCCUUGAGUGGGAAGUUGCUCUCAUCACCCAUUCCCUUCCCGGUCCUUACCGCUUGUCUUAGGAGUCUGCAUUUUUCCAGUGAGAAAUGGAACCCAUUUCCCUGACUAUUGAAUCAUGACUGUCACUGACGUGCUCUGAAUUUGAAAGGCACCAGAACGGAUGUUGUGACUCAACUGAGACUGAUCCCAUGAGGCCUUGCAGCUGCUGAGCUCGUCACGUGGCCUGCUGCCGCCACUAUGAACAGACACUCCCAGUGGCCUUCUUGAGGUUUAGGGGACCCGUGACAAGGAGGCAGCCAGUGUGGAUGACUGCAGGCCUGGUGAGCCUGGGGAGACUGGCAGGCCUGCCCAGCUGAGCCCAGCUCAAGUUGCUGACCCCUGCAGCAGGAGCAGUACAGUGGCUGUUACUGACCAUGAACUUUGGAGGAUUUGGAGGAGCUGAUUUCACGUUUAGCUUUAAGUAUCAACCACAACCUGACAGUCUCCCACUGUGCUUACCCCAGGAAUUGGUUCCUGUAUGGGCCUGAGGGCCUCAGGUGGCCAGUGAACAAACUUGCUUCUCACCUGGGGAAUUGGGCUCCUCCCAGGGGCAUCUGGCGUGUCUGAAAAUGUUUUUGGUUGUCCUGACCCUCCUGGUGGCAGGAGGUCUUGUAACCAACAACCAGUUAAACUCUGAACUGGGGUGGGGGGAUGAGCCGCUGGCAUUUAGGUAGAAAGAAGCCAGGGAUGUUCCUAAACAUCUCUGAUCAGAGUGUAGCCCCACAGCAAAGAAUUCUCCGGCCCCAAAUGUCUGCAGUGCCAGCACUGAGAAACUCACGACUGGGUGGUGGGAAAGAACACUUUGGAAGCGGCUAACAAUGUCCAGCAUCCCUGGCUUUUAAGUCAGUUUCUUUGAUUCAUUUCACCUCUACAUUCUGGUCCUGUGUGUUAAGUGAUUAUUCUUUAAAUAAAUGCAUAUAUGCAUUUAACUUGUAGGGUUUUGGUUUUCAUUUUUUCUUGAGAUCAAGUCUCACUGUGUAGUCGAGGCUGGCCUUGAAUUUACAAUCCUCCCGCCUCAGCUCUGGGGUACUAGGAUUAUAGACAGGUACCGUCACAUCCAUCUGCUUCUGCUCCUUCUUCCCCUUCUCCUCCUCCUCUUCCUGCUCCCCUUUCAGUCUUUCAGGUAACACCCUCAGCGAUCUGUCUCCUCCAAUCAGGCCCCACCUUUCAAGCUAUGAACUCAUUAAAGAAUUCAUUCCACCGAUGAGUGUAGCCCCGUCAUGACCCAAUCUGACAGCACCGUCCCUGAACACAUGAAACUUUUGGAGACAUUUCAGAUCUAAGCUGCAACACCAUGUAACAUCCAGCAUUGCCUGGGCACUGACAUCUGACUGGCAGAAAGAGGAUCAGAGAGAGUAGUGGUUCUUUCUUUUCUUUUUUUUUUUUUUUUUUAAGAUGACAAACUGAGCUAUUUAUUUGCUACAUUAAACCAUAUGAACUAGAAUUGUGAUCAUAUAACAAAAUCUAAAACAAACUAGAAAAUUAUAUGUAGUAUACAAGUCCUUAAUAAGUCAAUUUUGCUCUUCAGGGUUAAAUUUUUUUUUUUUUUUAAGUAUCACAAUAUAUUUUGUUAUCUUUAUAAUAGUUGUUCUUUGAGUCACAUAUAUCAAAAUGAGAUGAAAUAUAGAACACUACAGAACUUAUCAAAACAGAAUAUUGAAUAGAGCAGUACCAUUAAUUAAAAAAGAACAAAACAGAAAUAAAAAUAUUUGCCUUCAAAGAAAUGGUAGAAGGAAGUCCUCCUUAUUUGCUAUGGUCAACCUGCCAGGAGAUGCUCAGAUUUCUGGUUCCCAUUUGCUAAUGGGCGGCGGCUGGGGGAGGGGAGAAGGAGGAUAGGGGAAGUGGGAUAUUUGACUCUAGCCCAUGUAGCAGUAGGUUCACUACUGCUAAGCAGGGAGGCAGGAUGGUCAUUUGUUUUCACAGUGUCCUCAGUUCCAACAUGGUGUGGAUCUCAGGAGACACUGCUGGGUCUCCCCCUGGAAGGGCUGCAGUCUGCCAGCCUGCCUCCGCUUACCAGGGAGGGGAGGUGCUGGCUUGGCUUCCCAGAGUCCUAAGUUCCAACAUGGCGUGGAUCUCAGGAGACACUGCUCGAGAGUAGUGGUUCUUAUAAGCCAGGCCUUGCCCCAGUGACAUUUGCCAUCCUGUUCACAUUCUGGAGGCUGGAGCCCAGUCACAUGGUCUCAUCUAACUUCAUAGGAACCUGGGAGAAAUCCUAGCAUGUGCUGGAGAGAAAGAAAUAGGAUCGGUAACAAUUUGGCAGCUUUUGCCAGAAAGUCCUGUUCUGGUUUGCCUAUUAAUUCUCCCAGGUACCAUUCUUUCCUCCCUGGUUUCUCUUGGUUGGUUUUGGCUUUUCUCCAGUUUAGAAAUCCUCGUGCAAAAUCAUCUCUGCAGUGGACCUUCUUGGUUAUUCUGUGCGAUCUCUUGUGGAGCAUGCUUAGGGAAAGAGACAAGCAUUGUGCUCCAUGCUAGUUACAGAGGGUGUGGGGAGAGCCAAGGCACGCUACUGGACAGGGCACCUUAGUAGCUGGUCUUCUGGGCAUGGCACUCCCGAGUCCCCCUGGGUGAUCCUAGUCACCAAGUGCUGCCUUUCUGUCUACUCUAAACUCCCACAUUCUUUGCUCCUUCCUGCCUGGAGUAGACCACCCACCCAUCACACUUACCUGGUCCCUCCUAUGUCUCCAGUCCCCUUGGGUUUCUCCCAGUCUCGCUGGGAGGCUUCUGCUGUUGGACCCACUAUGUGUCCCAGGUUCAGGCUGCCUUCUCUAGUCUCAUCUCCCUGCCUUUUACUUGUCCCUUGCAGGUUCAGCUCCUCAGCUGCUAGUGAGAGUCUCUCUUCUUGUAUAUUUAUGAUUCAGUUUAUGUUUGCAUCUCUCAUUUAUUGGAUUUGGUGUUUAGCAUUUUGAAAGACUGCCGGCCCGUUUCCUCAAGAGACUCCUGCUCCAUUUUGCACUCCCAGCAGCUGUGUGGGAGGUUUCUGACUGCUCCACGUUCUUGAAUCGUUUGUGGUUGUCCGUCUUUUGGGCCCCAGCACCCUUAGACUCUCCAUGGCGCAUCACUUGGGGUACUCAGUGGAAACUCUUGCAGGUGUGAACCUGCUAUUCACCGUUAUGCUCCACCACCAGACCUCUCUUCCAGGAACCAGAGCUGUCUCUUCCUGGGCUCCCUUUGCUGCCUGGUGCAAAGUCUGAGAAUAACCAGUACAAAAGUGUAGCAUCCUCUGCGGCUACCGCAUACUGAGUGACCACUCCACAGCAGACCUGUGGGAAGCACCACAGCGCUCUUAUUCAGUCUCCAUAAACUGAAACUGGGGCUCCGAGUAUUAACUGGAACCGAGUUAGACAGCUGGGUAAACGGAGGCAGCAGGAUGUAAAGGAACGUGUGCCCACCUGCUCCCGGCUUCUUCCGUGGCUACGGUUGACUUCAAUGAGUAUUGAGGGGGGUGGGGGCUUGGUUUUAAAGUUAGUACAUCAAGGGGCUGGGGAUUUAGCUCAGCGGCAUAAGCGCCUGCCUUGCAAGCAGGCAGUCGUGAGUUCGAUCCCCGGUACUGAUAAAAAGGAAAAAGACCAAAAUAAAUAAAUAAAGUUAGUACAUCAAAAGUUGCAUAUCAAAUUAGAAAUCUCUUCAUGUCAAGUAUAAAUGAGAAUGUGCGGUAACUCUUUGACACUUAGCCACUGAGCCAGAGACAAAUGAAGGAAAUAGCAAUUAGGAAGUCCAUAUCGCAGAAGUGUGGCCUUUUGGCCUAUUUGCUCUUUCGAUAAUGCUCCCAUUUCUGGGUGAGUAGAAUAGAGGAUGGGUGGCAUAUUCCAAAAAGGUUUCUAUUUGUCUGCGAGGUCACCAGCUUCUGCACGGCACUAGGCCCUUUGUUAUCAUCUUUUACCUCCACGCUCACACUCUGCACUCCAGGCUCUGCAGGCUCCACCUGCGCUUUGCCAGCUGGUUCUGUGCAAGGCGCUGCCCGGAGGAGGCAAGGCAGGGAGACUGCACGGGUGGAGGAGGAGGCAGGACUUGGUUCCUAUCUGUCGCUUCCUACCCACCCCUCUGCCUGUGGCUCCUGGCUUGCACGCCAGUUCUUUCCUACCACAGUUUCUAAAUGCAGUGUUCAGCUUUUCCCAGCACAAGGCAUAAUUAGCUUUUACGUGACCCCAUUAGAGACAGCAGUUCAGGUACUGGUACUUUCCAGGAAGGUCAGAGCCUCUACAAGCUCACAUUCUGGAACCAUCUUUCUCCAAGUUGUAGCUUGCAGAGUGAUUCAACCUUUUCUUACUACAGGGAGCUGCUUCUUGCAGUUACUACACUUAUGUGACACCUCGGAUUUCUUUUUUUGAUCUGUCAAUUACCUAACAACUUUAAACCUAAGCAACUAUUUUCUGUGUUGUAAUCUCUCUGUUAAGUAACCAACAUGCUUUCUAUCUCCUGACUAUUAAAUCUUUCUAAACUUUACUUGCUAUAUCCACAGAUUUGUUUAUGGCUGGGAUUUGUAUCUCCGAGGAUAGGAUCUAAGAUCAGGAAAGACAUCGGAUAAUAAAGCUGCUUGGCCCUGUAAUGCACUGCCUCCUUAGUGUGGAACCCCCUAUUCCUGCUGCAUAGAGCAGCUGAGGAAAAGUCCCUUCUCUGUUCGAGUCAGAGGCAUUUCUCUGGGACUCUGCAGACAGAACAGCAGGUUUAUGUUUGCCUCUUACUUCGCACGCAGAAGCCCUCCAGAGACAGUCACAGGUCGGUUCUGUACUGAGCUCCAGCUUAGCUUAUAUAUGGACUACAUUUCCAUUUUCCCCGCUCCAGGGCCAGAGGGCUCCCUGACCCUUUUCUCCUCCUUCCCCCCAUGGAGACAUUCUACACCUGCUGCUCCUCUUCCCACUCUUUCCCAGGGGCCACUGACUAUUGCCCUUCUUCAACUUUCCCUGUGUUGGCCACCCUCCCCCAGAUCUCCUGGGGGCAAUGCCCACGUCCUUCCUGGCACAGGUCUUGCAUGCUUUGGACAACAGUGGAUUUCUAAGAGCCAGCACUUAGAAAUCCAGCUCACUAUGGGCAGUAGUCCAGUUCGAUAGUUCCUGUGGCCCCAAUACCCCCUACAAAUAAAUAAGGAAACUGGCAAGCAUGCAGUCAUGAGUUCAAUCCCUGGCACCAAAACAAACAAACAAAUAAACAAACAAAAAAGUACAACAAGGAACCACUGCACAUCUGUUGUGACGAUGUUAUUCAAAAUAGCAGUAACAGCAACCGCAAAACCAAAACAGAAAGUGACAGGUAUUGGUGGGGAUGUGGGGAUGUCGUUAGUGGGAAUGUUAAAUGCUACAGCUGCUGCGGCCAACAGUAUGGCAUUCAUUAAAAAACUCAACAGAAUGAACACUUUGAGAGAGAUGCCCAAAGGAAUUGAAAGCAGACACCCAGACAGAUGUUUGCACGCCAGUGUUCACAGCAGCGUUAUUCACAGUGAGCAAAAGAUGGAAACAACCCAAAUGUUCAUUGGCAGAUGAAUGGAUAAUUCAGAUGUGGUGUGUACGUACAAUGGAAUAUUGUCAGAGUUAAAAAAAUGAAAUUUUGAUAUGCGUUACAACUUGGGUAAGCCUUUAAAAUACACUAGUGAAAUAUGGACAAAUACUGUACUAUUCCACCUACACCAACACCUAAAAUAGCCAAGUUUUUAGAGACAGAAUCUAGUCUAGUGGUGACCAGGGCUGGAGGGUGAAGGACACGGGGAAUUACUGUAAAGUGCAGAAUUUCACAGGAAGAUAAUGAAAAUGGUCAGUUGGAGAGUGGCAAUGAUUAUUCAACCAUGCAAAUAUAUUUAAUGCCACUAAAUUGUACAGUUCAUAUGGUUAAAGCAGUAGAUUUUAUGUUGUGUAUAUUUUACCAAAUAAAAUGAUGGUGAUGGUAAUAUAACAGGGUGAAUACAAAAAUGUCACUGACCUGCACGCAUUAAAAAUGGUUAAGUUGGUAAAUUUUGUUAUGUGUAAUUUACCACAAUAAAAAAUGCUAAAUAAACUGUACAUAAAACUACCUCAUGACCCAACAAUUCUAUUCCUGAAUUUACUCAAGAAAUAAAAACAAAAAAGACAUGUUCAAGAAUAUUGUGAGCAGCUUUAUUUAUAACAGCCCCCAAAAGAAAGCAGCCCACGAUGUCCGUGCACAUUAGAAAGACCAAACCGACCGCGAAAAUUAUUGAACUUAUUCAGCUAGCUGUCCGAACACAGGCCUGAACACAGGUGGUUUUACUCUAGUUGCUUAUUUUUCUUUGGCCGCAAGUGGGCUUUCCUAUUCACUUCCAGACUUUGACCUGAGGACCAUCCGAGACUACUGAGUCUUAGAUCUGCAUGGUUACUUCUGUUAAGACUGUCUUUCCAAAGGGAAGGCUCUCCUGCUAUCUGUGCACAGCCUCUAAGACCUGCUUUCCUGCACAUGGUCCACUAAGUUUUGGUCCAGCUCUUGCCAGAACUGACGGGUGGAACACCCCUGCUCUCCGCGGGAGGGAAGCUAGGCACUGGGUGCUCUGGUUUACCCGGGUCCUGGUUUCCAUCUCCCUAGUGGUCAUAGCUCUAGCUGCUCUUUUCUGUAUUUCAAAUGGGCAUCCUUUGGCCACCAUCACACAGGGCUCUGUGAGCUCUGCUCAUGCCCCUCUUGUUGAUGACCUCUGAGGAACGGUGCCCAGUGCCGGGCACUCUACAAGGAGACAGAUGAGCAGUGUUCUCUGUGCAGUGUGUGAAGGCACGGACUCCUCAGCCACUUGACCUUUUUUUUUUUAAUCUUCUCUUUUUGAGACAGGGUCUCGCUAUGCAGUUCAGAUUGGUCUUGAGCUCAUUUUGUAGCCCAGGUUGGUUUUGAAUUUGUAAGAUCCUCCUGCCUCAGCCUCCUGAGUACUGGGAUUACAGGCGUGCACCACCACGCCUGGUUUUAAUCUAGUGUUUUGUUUGUUUGUUUAUGUAUUUAUUUGGUCUUUUUUGAGGCAGAGUUUCAUUAUAUGGUCCAGGGUGGCCUUGAACUCACUUUGUAACCCAGACUGGCCUCAAACUCAGUGAUCCUCCUGCCUCAGCUCCCAAGAGCUGGGAUUACAGGUAUUCAUCACACCCAGGUUCCAUCUGGUUUUGAAUCUGAAUUUUAUAACAUACUGGUGACUCUUAACACUUCUUUGUGUCAAAAUUUCAUAAUCUAUAAGAGGAAAAAUCAUGCUGCUUCCUUCAUGGUUGUGGUGAGAAUUGUGAGGAUAAAGUUAAUAAAGUAUAAAGUUCAGGGAUGGGGAUAUAGCUCAGUGGCACAGUGCCUGCCUGGCAAGCACGAGGUCAUGAGUUUGAUUCUUGGUACCAAAAAAAAAAAAAAAAAGUGUAAAGCUCUUAGAGCAGUGUCUGGUGAUGCUGGCACUAUAGAAGUGUGGUAUUUGUACCUACUUUGUACCAUGUUCUCUACAUUCUUUGAAGGAUUUUUGUUCUCAGAUGACAGCUGAAAAGAACAAAUACAUGUAUAUCAGCCAGGAUUUGGUCAGGAGACAGGACACCACACCAGCUGUUUCAAUAGGGAAAAUCUAGUUUAAAGAAUUGCUAACCAGUAAAUGGCGACGAAGAAUACGGGAAUGAGAGUUAAAGGAGCAGCCACUCCAGAGUCUCCAGGACUGACAGAGAGAGGAGUGAAUGCCCCUUCCCCAGCUGGGGCUGAGAUCCAGAGCUCCCAGGGGAGGGUGUGCUUGUGGCCCUGUGGGUGGCAGAGGAGCUGGCUGAGGUGCUGCUGCAGGCUGGGCUGGCAAAUGGGACAUCGCCUGCUGGGAGCUGGCAAAAUCCCACUGGGAAGCCACCCACUAGCAGCUGUGCUGCAGGAGCCCUUUACCAAGGAAGAAAAGCCCUUUACCAAGGGAGAGAAGGCUACUCAGUGAGCCUCUGACACUGUCCCUGGGAGCCUUACUGGGGUGACCAUCUAAUAGAGGACCCUUCUUUCAGGGUCCAGUUCCAGGAUACCCUGAAUGGGCAAAGAAGAUGAAGCACUGAACUGCUUCCCAUCUGUGUUCUCACAAUUUAAAAAGCUUCAGAAGGAAGUUUCUCCUAGUUACCUAUUUACAAAAGGAAGCUAAUUAUCCUAAUUAUCUGUUUACAAAAGGAAGCUGAGUAGGGUGCCCAUAAGUUCUAGGUGUUCAAGAGUCCCAGUCCAUGCCCAUUCGUGCAGUAUUAUUAAUAGCACCCUCUAUGUGCUAUUAAUGUUAUGUGGUCUUACACUAGAUAUGGAUGCAUCUGCUUCUGGGAAACCCUCCUGCCGGUAGUAGCUAGAAAACCUGUAACUAUAAACAAGCACAAUUUAGCAGAAUGUGGUGGGGCACACCUGCAAUCCCUAGCUAGGAAGCUUAGGGAUUUAGGGAGAUCUUGUUUCAAAUAAAUAAAAAGAAAAGAAACAAAGAGUUGGGAUUGAGUUCAAUGCAAAGGCUCUGGGUUCAAUCCCAGCAGCAAAACAAAACAAAACAAAACAAAGCAAAACAUUCUGCUCAAAGUCAACAGUGAACUAUCAAGGCAGCCCAGGAGUUAAGAGCCAAGGGAGAGGAAAGAGGCCCGGAGGUGAGCUUGACUCCCUGGGCCACUUCCCUCCUAGAAGCUUUUGCUGAUUUGUAGGUGGAAGUAAUUAAGAUGCUGCAAAGUGACAUGAAAAUACUAAGCUAUAGUUAAAAGGGUAGCUUUCUUUUAUAGGGGAGUAUCCUAUAAGAUCCGCUGGGUCACACCGACACAUAUAUUUUCAACUUUGACAGAUUUUGCCAAGUGAUCUUAAAAAACAAACCAAACAGAACAGUGUCCACGUCCCCUUCCUCUCAUCAAUAUGGAGAGUCUCCUGAGUUUUCUCCACCUAACUGGCUCUCAUCAUUUCUUCUUUUUGGCUUUAACUCAGGUGAAGGGCCACGUGCUCCGGGGUUUACCACGUGGGUCUGAGUAGAUUACAUUUCCUCUAUGUGGUGCUGGUGGCACUAGGGGAGGUUAUCAGGACAGAAAGGGAUUGUAGGCACUCUGAGAGCCAAUCAAGAUGGUCCCCACUGUUAGAGGUAGCGGGGCAUCUUUUGCAUUUCUGUUUACAAAAAUAAUAAUUGAAAUAAUUAUUAAGACAAAAUCCUUUAUAAUGGAAUCACUCCUGCAGGCUGGGCUGGCAAACAGAGCCUGUGGAUGUGAGACGCCCAGGAGGCACAGCAGGCCCCGCCUGCCACAGCCUGUUCCUGUGACUACUGCUCAGGUGGCUUCUCAAGUGGGAUUUGACUUCUCCACAGCAACUUUUUGUAAUCAAAUACUGCACUAUGCACAACCACGAGGAAACACGGGCAUAUAUCUGUAUCUGUACCUUUCCAUAAAUUUGAAUCAAGAUAAUCUUCAUUCAUUAGACCAUAAAUUGCAUUUAGUUAAUCAAAAUGUUUGUAUGGUGCAUCAUGGUGUCUCCUGUGUAUCAGGAACCAAACUCAUAGAGAGAAAAUACAGUGGCUGUUAGAUCCAAUUUGGCUUUUCAUUAUUAGCAAUAAAGAUCCUCUAUACCCACUUUGUGUUACUGGCACUUACACACAGCAAUUUGAACUCUUCUGUUUUAGCUCAUCAUUUAGACACAAAAACAUGGAAGUAAUAAAAAUAAACCAGUUUUUAAAAAGUACAACAGGCAUACAUUCCGAACAUUCAUUUAGGAAAGCAGACUUUGUCUAUUUUUGAUGCUAUAAUGAGUCAUUAAAUUUCAUACAUUUUAAUAUACAGUCCAUUUGUCCCAAUACCCAAGGACACGUUAUUUUAAAAGUUAUGAACAAAACAUGGUCUCCCCUUACAUAAUUAAAUUAAACAUCGUGCAUUACUUGGUAAAUGGGAAAAUGUUGAGACUAGUCUUUUUAUACUACAGGCAUUGCCAUUUUAAUAUUGUACAUGUAUCUAAAAUAAGUCAUAUUUAAAAUUCAGUUUUUAGUAGACACUUUACAGGUUUUUUAAUGGGCAAGCUAAUUUCUUUUUUUACAUUUUUCUUUUUUUCCUUUUUUGUCAGUACCGGGGAUCAAACUCACAACUGACUGCUUGCAAGGCAGGUGCUUAUGCCGCUGAGCUAAAUCCCCAGCCUCCACCAAGCUAAUUUCAAGGUGUUGAAGGAGUUACAUGGUGAAAGGGGUUCUCCGGUCAAGGGAGGCCGGGGUGAUCUUAAUCUGCUCCAGGUUUUUCCAUUUACACAGGAGGAAGCUGAGGCGGAGGUGGAGGAAGAGACUUACAUAAGAUUUCUUUACACGCAGGGCCAGGGAGCAGCGGAGCUAAACUCUGAGCUCACUGCUCUGCAGAGCCAGCGUGGCUGAGGGUACAUGUCUGCGGGUCCCACCAGACAGGUCUUCACUGGACCGGGUCUCCAGCAGCUGGGGUGCUGACCCUGUCCCCUCUCCAGGUUCAGCAUUUCCUGUCUAGGUUCCUCGGUUUCCUUGUGGGCUAAGCCCACUUAGUUCCCUUUAGAAGGAGCUGUCUUUUUGCACACACAAUUGGGAUGUGUCACUGUCUACCAACCCAAUAGAGGAGCAGAUAAAUGGACGGAGAGGGGAGAAGGCUGAGCACCCAUCAUGGGGUGACUGAGGAAGGACGAGGGGUGCGUUCUUCAAAUGGGAGUGGAUUUAGAAAAUACUGUAAAAAGGUUCACAACUGUACUCUCCUUCUUACCAGGAAAUUAACCUCUUUCUAUUGAGAAAAAAUUACGUUCAUCCUGGAGCAAACCUUGUAUCUACCUCUUCAGCCUUUCUCAGCUUUGGGGAAAAACUUAUUUCAAAGGAUCACUGUGCCACCAAUUUCUUCUCCCAAACUGGGUUCUUUAUCCGUCUCAGAACAGCAGAACCAAAAGACCAAGCACUGAAGGAACAGUGAAGAAUUUCACUCUUGGCCACAAAUUGGGGGUCCAGGGACUAUGGAUAUAAGGUAAAAGAAAAGAGGGGGAAAGAUAGGCUAGAAAAGGGAGGAGUAGUUAGUUACGUCUUUUCUGGGCAUUCGGGUGCCUCCUCUUCCUGUUACUCACCGUUCUUUCCAGUCAUUGUCACAUUGUACUGGGGAGUUUGUCACUGAACACGCAGAUGGGAUUAUAAGGAAGCUGUCUGGCAGUCACUCUGGUGGCCACCUAGGGCCCACCUGGUCUCAGCCAGCCCAUCCAAAGAGGGACUUUUGGUUCACUGGUGUCCUGCCCUUAGACACACACGAUUAGGACCAGGAAGAAAUUCAGCUAAGUCAAGUGCAAGUCCAGGUAACAUCAGCCCUUGUUUUACCCUGCGAUGCCUGCACACAGUCCAGGAAGCCCCAGCCCUGCAACCCCCAUCUGCCAGGUGUCUGAUAGGAUACACUAGGGUGCAGCCCACCACAUUUUGGAGCUGCUCAUGAUGUGUCUCCUACAGUUACAAAACAACCAGAGACAGCCUCACCUAGCUCCUUUCUAUGGGUGGAUCAGUCCAAUCUGAACAUGGCUUGGAGUGUUCUGAUAACAUCAGAGCUGAUGUGGCCCCAUAUGCCAGUAAUGUCAAGGUUCUGGGAGGCUGGGGCAGAAAGAUUACAAGUUUGAGUCUGGCCCAGACAAGUUAGAGACACCGCCUCAAAAUAAAAAGUACAGAGAUCUGGUAUGUAGAUCAGUGUGAAGGCCCUAGGUUUGAUCCCCAGUACCACAAAACAAACACAAAACAAAGCAAAACAAAAAACCCACUCAGGAGGUCCACACCUCCACAGAUUUCAUAGAAUCUGUGGCUGUCCCUUCACUGCCACCCUGGAUACUGACACCUCUCCUGCUUGAAUUCAAGGUCUUCUAUAAUCUGGAACCAAGCUACUGCUAGACAUUUGUCACCCUAACACAACCUGUUUCUGGGGUCAAGUCACCAUGAAGCUGACUGCACCAGUGAUCUGCCUGCAUGGCUUUCUCACGCUGGUCCCGCAUGAAGAGCCCUGGUCUUGUGCUGUUUGGUCUCCUGGGCUAAGUGAGUAGAGCGGUCACCAAACAAGCUAACAGGUGCUCAAGAGACAAGAUGAUCAGAACAAGCCAGAGGAAGAGUGGCUGGCGGAGGAGAUGGACCGAGAAGGUGGCAACCGCUGGGAUCGAAGGAGGACAUAGAUUCCUCGGAGACUUAAGGAUGGUCCUAAGGCCAACACCAAUGUUCACAUUUUAAUUCCUUUUGAAAUGAGACACACAGAGAGAGAGAGAGAGAGAGAGAGAGAGACAGACAGACAGACAGAGACAGAGACAGAGACAGAGAGUGAAUGUAACUACAAAUUUAGCUUGAAUUAUACUCAUUUUUUAUACCAUCGCACAGUAAAAUAUAAUUUUUGAAAAAGCUUUUAUUUUUUUAAACUGAGGAAAGCGGUCCCGGAAAACGAAAGUGCUUAUGACCCGGAACAGCCAUAAUCCGGUCCUGGAUAUAGUGUUUACAUUUUCUGAUUUACAAAACGGAUAUUCGGAUGCUUUUAUGAGAUCAUUUCAUUUUAAAGAUUGAAAGCGCGUUUUCAAAUGAAAGAAAAGCGAAACAUUCGUCUAGGCUGCAGCGUCCCCGGAGCCCGGGUUACUCCGCCCCUCGACAGGGGGCGCGCGAGUCGACUCGGGACGUGCCCGCUCCGGCAGGGCGGGAGCGGCGGUCGCCGUCGCGGGCAGAGGCCGCUUUCGGAGCCCAGGCCGCGCGGGAAGGCGGGCACCUGCAUCCCGGAGCCCAGCGCCCGCUCCCACCCCUGUCGUGUGUCUCGACGGCCGCCAGGCCCCUCCGCGCCGCGCCUGCCUCUCCGCCGCCUCCCCGAGGACGCGCGACGGCUCCCGCGGGGCCGGGCUGCCCCCCCGUGGCUCGGCCUGCGCACUUCCGAGGCCCUAAAGGCAGCGGCUAACCCAACGCUCCACGCGCGAACCGGACCCUCGCCGCACUCCCCGGCUCUUUGGGACGCGGGUACCGCACCGCACCCGGGAGCGCGGCCCGAGUUGCAGAAGGCGCGGGUCCGAGCCUAAGCGGUUGCGCAUGCUCCAUGGCGGGCUUAGGGAGCCCUGAUAGGGCCAUCGCGCGGCUGGUUCUACGGAGCUCCAGUGGCGCAAUCGGUUAGCGCGCGGUACUUAUAUGGCAGUACGUCAGAGCGAUGCCGAGGUUGUGAGUUCGAGCCUCACCUGGAGCACUACCAUUUUGGGUGUCCGCACGCCCCAUUUUAUCUCCUUGCUCGAACGGAGCCAGUCGUUUGGUUUCAUUUCCGGCCUGUUAACUAAUUUGCCCCACGAUCCGCGUUGCCGCGGCAGGAAACAGCUCUUUACCGGUUACUUUUCUGAGCUACUUGUAGCCCCAGCGCAGCAUCCAGCGCUCAGGUCCCCACGUCCACCUUCUGCUUCCUCCUGCUUCUCUUAGGCGCUUCUGUAACUUAGUUCCUCACUGGCGACGGCGACGUGGGGCGGAGGUCUCGGGCGCUGCCCUGGAGCUGGGGCCUAGGGGCGGGGAAUGGGCAUCGCGAUCCAGGUCGCUUCUCUCCCCUGGGGAAGGCCAAACUCCGCGUCCCGGAGGAGGUCGGGCCGACAGCUGGGGCCGGCGAGGUGGGGACUCGGGCGGCGGCUCCACCGUCCCGACCCCUCCCGGGGGUGCAGACCCGGACAGCGCCCUCCAGGGGCGGUGUGCGGUUUGGAGAAAGUGUCGCCCUGAAAUGGAGAGGGUUUCUAGGCUCAGGAGUCGCCCCGCGGCCGCCGGGUUUGCGACCAGCUCAGGACCAUCCCCAGCUCCGCGGGGGCCGCUCGGUCACCCUGAGGCGCUGGCGGGGGGGGGGGGUUGGAUUGGAGCUCAGAAGGCCGCUGGACCACUCUCAAAGGGCAGUUUCCAGCUGCGUGUCGGUCCGCACCCCAAGUAGGUGGGAUCAUCAUCAGCAGAGCGGUGAGCCCUCCUUCCAGAGAUCCAAUACAGGCCUGGAAACAAAUCUCUACUCAUUAGAAAAAAAAGUUUCCUUAACGUCUUCUUAAAUAAAAGAAACUUUAUUGAUACCGGGAGUGAUGGCAGACACCUGUAAUCCUAGCACUUGGGAAGCUGAGGCAAAAAAAUCACCGUGAGUUUGAGGCCAGUCUGGACUACACAGCAAGACUUUGUCUCAAAAACAACAAAACAAAAAACCAGAAAGCCAUUAGUGAGAUAUAAGUCACAUGCAAUGUAAUUUACUUAUUUAAAAUGCACAACUCGAUUUUAAUCUAGUCACAGAUACGUGUGUGCAACCAUCAAUCUUGAAUGUUUAUAUCACCUCAGCAAGAAACCCCUUAUCUUUUAGCUAUUUCUAGAAGUACAGUCAUACAGCAGUGUCCUUUUGUGGCUUUUUUUCUCCUACUAACUAUAACAUUUUUCUAGAUCCAUACCUGUUGUACGUCCUCAUUUUAUUUAUUUAUUUUUCCUUUUUUUUUUAGAUGAUGGCUCACUGUACUGCCUAGGAUGGUCUCAAAGUCCUGCAAUCAUCUUCCUGGUGAUCUAAUGGCUAGGAUUCCACAUAUUCCAAGUUCUUGGAUCCAGGGAUCCUCCUGCCUCAUCUCAAAGUAGCUGGGAAUACACCCCCGUGCCUUGUUCAUUUCUUUUUAUAACUGAACAAUAUUCCAUUGCAUGAAUUAUUUGCAGAAAAUGCUGGCAUUUUCAACAGAAAAGUUGCUGGAAACUUCAAGAUGGAAUUAGUUUUAAAUGUGCAAAGCAUGAAAGUGAUCAGACCUGUCAAGUGCAGGUUUCUGACCUCCAGAGCUUACCCCCUAACCACUAGAGGCUGUUGUCUUCUGAGAGCUGAGCACAGAGCAGAUUGCCAACAUAGAAAAGCAUAAAUGAGUGAAAAAGCACCCCCUCCGGCUUCCUGGCUGCAGAGAAACAACUGGUACAAAACCUCACUCUGACUUUAAAACAUCCAGCCUCAGAAUUGACUUUCCUUUCAAGGCAGCCCAUUCUCUUUUCUGGCAACUCUGGUGGUUAGAACAUUCUUCUUACACAUCAUUUCUGUCUCUGUUGGUUAUGGCUGGAACUGAGGUGGCUUGGGAGAUCAUUUUUUUUUCCUCGUAAAAUGGUGGAGUGGGAAGGAAGGAAGCUAAACUAGUGGCAUAGAAACCCAAACUAGAAAAUUAUCAGUGGCCAACAAAUAGACUACUCUGUAGGCAGAUUUGUAGCCCAGCAUCUCAGUAAUGUUGAUAGGAUUUUUUUAGGGUAGUGGUGGGUAAUAAAAAUCAACUCAGAAAAUUUUGAGAAAAUGCUUUCUAAAUCAUACAGACUAUAACAUGAUUAUUAUUAUUAUUAUUAUUAUUACUGACAGACUAGUGGAUCAGGGCUGCGUAUUAUGUACAGUGGCUCCCGGGAGGAAGAUGACUAUGUACAAGGUAAACAAACUAGGAAGCUGGACCACAACAAUCCUUAGCAGGAGAGAAGCCUGCACUCUUCCGGGGUGACAUCAGCCUUGGGAACAGCUUAGAAAAAGACAGGCUCCUCAAAACCAUGAGUGACAUAGUACAGAUUCAGUAGAAUUUGGAGGAAGAGCAGAGCCAGUCUGCAGACAAAUGACAAGUGGGACAAGACAGGGUUUGAGAGACGGUUCCAAGUCCACGUUCUGUUCAAAGUGCAGAGUGUGGUUGUGGCAGACGCCGCAGCUGUUUGCGUGUAGGAGAUCUGGGGGUUCAGAUGCAGGUGAGCUUAGUGGUUCCGGCAGUUGACCCAGCUGCUGGGAGAGGCAGCCGCUUAUUAAUGCGCUCUGUACCAUGCCUCACACGGGGUGCUGAGACGGCCGUCAGUGGGGGAACAAAUCUAGCUUGCAGACGGUUUUUCUUUUUUCCUUUUCAGGAUUGACUUACAUUUAUAUAUAUAUAUAUAUAUAUUUAUUUUAUUUUAUUUUUUUUAAAGCCAGUCAAAUUUAGCAGUGGGGGGGGGUGGUAUACCAACUUUAGUGACACUAAUGUUAAUAAGUUCUGAUAACCCACUGCCAUCGGACCAGCCCUUACAUUUAUAUUUUAAAAAAAUCAUUUGUCGACAUCCUGGGAGAUUUCAUAGAAACAGCCUAGAUUUCCAGUUUUAGCAAAAACCCAGAAGACUGCCAUCAGGGCCCUUAUUCCUCCACAGCAACUUCACUUCCCCUUUUGGAUGUCCGUGUGGUCUUUAGCUGCUAGAGUCCCUGUCACUGUCCUUUAGCCUCUGACGCUGUCAUGCGAAAGGCUGCCGCUGAGUCACUCGACUCUUCCAUCCUUUGCAGCCUAGUGAGACCCUGUCUCCUAACUGCCCCUCCCCAAAAAGAAAAAAAAUUGUCUUGCAAAUAUUGCAGUAGAUAUAUGCAACAGGUAACCACUUUAAACAAAAAAAGCAAAAUCACGGUACCGUUAUGACACUUAACUAGAGUAACAAAAGUUCUCCACACUUGUCUCUAAAAGACGUUUCAAAUCGAGAUCCAAACAAGGUCCACCCUUUGUAUUUGACCGUGUAUUAACCUGAACUAAUUCCUUUUCUUCUCACGUCCUUGAAAGGUACCUUUUUGGUUUGCCUACAGAGUUUCCCACAGAAGUUGGCUAAUUGCACCCUUAAGGCAUCUUUUGACAUGCCCAUCAGUCUCCAGUGGCAGUUAGAUUGACACAAUAUUGGGAUUUAUUUAUUUGAAAAAUAUAUAUUUCAGGCACGACUCUGCAUGAUUACACCACCCCAGAAACUACAUAAUGUCUUGUCCCUCGUCUAAUGAUGCUGAUUUUGGUUGGUAAUUCUAGAUGUAAUUCUACUCUGACCAUUAGUGAUUUCCUCAUCAACCACUGACAAAUGCUUUUAGUAACCUUUUAUGAUCGGUGUCUAGAUCUAUUAUUAUCUUAAAAAAUAUUAUUAUUAUUAUUUAGGGGUGGUUGAGACAAGAUCUUACCAUGUAGUUCAGAUUGGCCUUGAACUCAUGGCAAUCCUCCUGUCUCAGCCUCCUGAGUGCUGGGAUCACAGGUAUGCACCACUACACCCAGCUACACAAUGAUAGCUUUCUAAUGGUAUUAUUCCUUUUAUAACUAUGAUUCUAAAAAUUAUUUAGUUUUCCUAAGGCACAAUUCAUAUAGAAAGGAUCGAAUAAUUGCUUGGUUCUUUUUUCUACUAGUAUUUUAUAAUAAUGAGUUGAUGCUCUAGUGAUUUUCAAAAGUGGACAAUUAUGUUUUAGCUUCGUAGCUUUGUUGGAGUUAUGGGUGAUGUCCAAUGAGCAUCACUGAUAGUGGGAAGUCAUUUUUAUGUGCUUAUUAGACAUUUGUGUAGAUUCUUUUUGGUGAAGUGAGUGUUCAGAAUUUUUGAACUUUUUAAAUGGAAUUGUUUGCCUCUUUUGUUGAUGAAUUACAAGAGUUUGGGGGUAUAUUUUAGAUAGUUUCUUUGUCGGCUAUGUUUUGCGAAUAAUUUCCACAGCUUACAAGUUAGGGCUUUCUAGAGAAUCAGAAUGUAGUGAAUUUUGGCAACACAGUGGGCUUGCUAACCCUGUCAGUGCCAUCACAUUGCUGUUACAGUUUUAUGAGGUCACCCUGUGUAUGUGGUCUGUGGGGGCCUGAAACAUGGUAUGUGGCUAUUGUUCUUCUUUCUUUUUAUACUCAGUUUUAUUUUUUCUCCCUUUUUAUAGUUUCUUAAGCUGAAACUGUAAAACUAAAUUCUCCUUAAUUGUUUUUAUUUUCCCCACUGGUUGGAUGGCCACUGGGAGGAUAGGCAGACGGCUGGGGUAGCCAGCUCUGGGAAGGCCUGGAGGACUGAGGAGAUUUCCUUAGGAGCCCUCAGGAACGCGCAUGAGAUCCUGCCGUGGCAGGGCUCUCCCGUGCACAUGGACUGAGACACAAAGGCCCGCAGUGGUGCUGCAGGCCUGGUGUCCGAGCUGGCCCCUGUGACCUCUUCAAGCUCAGCUCCGUCUCCCUGCCCUGGCUCUCUGGGCUGAAUCUAGUCUCAUCUUUCUCUGCCUUUUCCUUGUGUCUGCUUUAGAGCCUGGCAGGGCCCACUGCUGCUCUUAGAACAGCUUCCCCAGGUCUUUGGAGGCUGCUCACUCCACGGAGAGGGCUCAGCCAGGUGUAGCUCCUCACAGAUCGGGCUGAGCACAGUCCCUCCCUGUCACUUGGCCUUGUUUGGCACUUGCUUAUUAUGUCGAUGACUAUCUAAAAUUAUCACAUUUAUCUCAGUGUUCCUGGUUCAUCGCCCAUCACUUGGCUGUACUCCCCCAUGGUGCCAAGCUACCAGCGUGCGGCACGUAUUCAGUGCGUGAAGCAGGAUGACUCAAGCAGCACAUGGGCACAGACUCGAGCUGAGUGAGGACCCAGUGCCCUGAGAUGCUGUCGAGUACCUUAGGAGGUCCAGAGCUACUCCAGGGGGAAGGUAGGCCUGGGCCAUGAGCUUGUCCAAUUUUAGCAUGGAAGGUGUCAUGUUCCAGGAAAUACCUUGUCCCUGGCACCUCAGGGUGGCCUGUUGCUCUCAGCUGAAGUGUUCUGAUGGCAGACAGUGGCUGAUGGUGAGGGAUGGUUUUGUGCUGGAGCUGAGGCAUGAGUGUGUCCACUUUGGCUGGUGACGGAUCCUGAGCAAUCCAGCUUUGACUUUCCCAGGCGCCAGGCCUGGAGGGAAGGAGAAGUUGUAGUUUCUUAAACUCCUGCAGUGACCUGACCACAGGUCUCUGUCCUUGCUUGCCUAAUGUAUUCCUUGACUGUUCUUAUUGUUUCCAUUUUGGAGACACACACUGAGGCUCAAUAAGGUUGUGUGAUUGCCCAAUUUAGACGGACUCUAUGGGACAGAGGAGGUGAGAGUGACUGGUUUUGUUCACACCUUGGUCCAGACCUCCCCAGCUGUUUCAUGUGAGGGCGAGGCCCAGAGGUGUGGCUGGGACCUCGGUCUGACAGUCAUUCCACAGUCUCUGGAACCCAGCCCUCCUCGGUGCCCCCACUGUGAGCUGGGUAAGGGGCUUUCUUUUGCCAGAUGAGUGGCUGUGCCCGGCUGCGCAGUCUUCUACCGCACGGUGGCGCUGUGGCCCUGUUCAGGAAGGGUCUUCACCUCUGGUACCUGGGCAGGAGCAGCCACUGGCCGGAUUUCACCCUGAGACUGCAGGACAGCUGCAGCUGCAGCCUCUCUGUAGCUUUAACAGUGGCCCGGAUCGACCCUCAGGGUGCACAAAACACGCACAGCAGCUUGGGAGCAGUGGGCGGGAGUGGGAGAAAGGGCAAGUGAAGGCCCGGGCUGGGGAACAGGAAGGCAGGCAGACAGGAGGGUCCUGGCCGCCCAGCUGGUAGAAAGAUGCAGAAAGGAUUUAUGCAUGGGCCUAGGUCUCCACUGGGCCAUUGUCGAUUCUCGAUUCUCGGCAAAAAGCAGCACUGCCAUCUGUAAACGUUUAAUCCUUCGAAGCCUGCCCAGCACCGCUGGGAGCCUGCUGAGAGCGAUCAGCUUCUUAAUUCUGUCUUUUCCCCGUCUCUGGGCUGAGGGCUGAGUCAUUAACUCGUUGCAUAGAAUCAAUUAAAAUAUUUGAUUUAAAUUUAAAAUGUCAUGUAAGUUUUUUCAUAGGUAAUAAACUGAUGGGUUCAAAAUUCAAAAGGCUUUUCCUACUGAAUAUAUGAACAAACCGGUUGCCAACAAUUCCUAACAGAAAAGCGGCAAGGACCUUGAAAGAGAAGCAUUAAAACCAGGUGGAAAGUGUCACCCUUGGGGCUGCAAAAACUUUCUUCUUGAGUCCUGAGGAUUACCAGUGUUGGAGGAUAUUUUUGAUGUGCAGGAUUCCAGGUUGUAUGAAGUCAUGUGGUUUCUCACUGUGAUCUUGUUUCUGUAUAGAGAGUCGUUGCUCUCAUCCUGAGAGUAGUCUUUUUUCCUCAUUUUCUUCAUUGGUUUCCUCAUGGUUUCAUAGUUUGCUGUCUUAUCCACCUCAGAGAUGUUUUAUCAUUAGUGACAUGAUGGAGAGAUGGGGCCUAGAGUGGUGAGAACGGUGCGUUGGGAGGACAGUUGGUCUGGGACCAUGGUCCUGCCUCUGUCUGGAGUUUCGGCCAGCAGCAGCAGUUAUCCAAGACAGGACAAGCUGGCUGAGAGGGGUCCACUUCCGGAGGGAGCCCUUUUUGCUGAGGUCUGGGAACUGACUUGUCCAGGGCAGACUGGGCUCACAGGCUGGCCAUCGUGACCUGUGAGCCCAGUGAGCAGGACUCCCAGGGCAUGAGGUCAGGACAUAAGGAUCAUCUGGGUGGCUCUAGGGGAUGGCCUGUCACGAGUUCUGUCCUCUGGGUGGCCAGAACCCAGAGCUCAGAGACUGGGGAGCCAGGGAAGUUGUAAGACUGAGAACUCUGAACAGGGACCAAGGUGUCCCAGUGUAUUGGGAACCCAGGCAAGAAUCCUCAUCAUCAGUCUCAAGAAUGUGGCAAGAAAAAUAAAAACAGAGACAAAUACAGUAUUCCAGCAAUGGCUGGGAAGGCAGUGUCUCUGGGUCGGCUGCUCCCAGAGCAGCCACUAUUGAUUAGGCAUAUACAGUGAUAGGUGGGGUUAGUAGCAUAUUACAAUUUGUCCAAGACUCCCACUUCACAGGGCAUAGAUAAUCUUAUGUUUAGAAAUAUCUUGACCUGGAGUAUCAUCCUGAGAUGACUCAAGAGGGUGUAGAUGACUCAGUGGGAAAUCCCAGAUGGUGGUAUCAAUAAUCCCAAUCCUUCCUAUUAUCCCAUAAGGAAAUAUGCAAAAUUAGCCGCUGUGAAUUUGUGGUCCUCAAUACCAGUGGGCAGUGAAGGACUUGGAGAAUCAUAAUAGCCAUUGCUCAAGGUGUCCAAUCUGUCCUUGUUGCAUUUCAGAAAAUGGUGUUUAUGUCUCUGAGCACUCAGGAAAUGGAGCCCCUGUGUACAUGUCGGGCCGGGAGCAUCUUCAGGGACAGUUCUCCUGCGUGGAGCCUGGUCCCUCCUCCCUCCUCUCUCUCCAUGUCUCUGGAUGCUGAAGUGCCUAUAUGGACCUGUUCACAGGGGGUCCCUUGUCUGGGCACCGAGGAGGGGACACAGCUUAUGGCUGGAAAGCAGGCAACCCACUUUGUGCCACCUGCGUCCUGUGGCCUCAGAUUGCAGGCUCUGCUUUCAUCAUCCAUACAGUGGGGUGAUGCCUUUGCAACCUGGGCCCCUCAAGGAAGAAUGGAAGAACAAGAGGAGCCAUCCUGUCCCCACAAGGGGUUGCCUGGGGAUAACCGUAACUAUUUGCAAGCGCUGCUGUGGAGUGGGCUUCGAGGGGCAUGACCCUCAAAGAUAUCAGAAUUUGCCCUUAAGGGAAUAGGGAUUCCAUGAGUGCACACUGAUGUCAGCUUCAGCAAAGGAACAGGCAUUCCACAUAUCCCACCUGUGCGAAGCUGUUCAGGAAACAGAAUGAUGAAGAGUCACUAAACAAGUUGUAUGUUUUGCUAAUUUAUGUCUCUGUUGUAGCAUUAAAAUUUAGACAAUGUGGAUGAGAACUAACUACUUAUUGUCAAAUAAAAUUACAAAACAGCCAAAAAAUGGGAUGUGGCUGUGGCUCCAACCUGCAUUGCAGAUGAUCAAACGAAGACAAAGGAAGGUGAAUCGUCAGCUGCAACACACCCUCCUGUGGCUGCUCCCAAAGGGGAAUGGAGCCUGCUUCUCCUGUUAGCUCCAGCAGGUGGCAGCAUUUCAUUCCGUGUGUCUCAGCUCCACCCCGGCCCCCUUCCAGACUCACAAUGUGUAGGAUCAGGGUAGCCAGGCACAACUGACCGCCACAUUCCCACUUCCCUAGGUGCAAAGGGGUCAGGGGAAGGCGGGUCCAGAACGCCUGGCCUUAAAAGGUCUUGGAAAGAGAAUGAGAAAGCAGAGAUCAGAAAGGAGGGUGAGAAAGGGUGAGAGACUUGGGCUGAAGAGUGACCCUGUCCUUUGCUGCCGCCAUGGUCUCCCAGCCCUCCGGGAGGAGGUAGUUUGGGACCCAGAAGGCCAGGACUUGUCCUCUGUUGUUGGAAAGGCUGCUGGCAUUUCAGCGAGGAAGGGGUGGGUCUUUUGUUUUUGUGUGUGUGAAAGGAUUGAGAAUUCACAUCAUUCUACAGUUCAUAUGAGUGGUGGCAUGGGGGGUUGGGUCCUUUAUUUAUUACUUUAUAAUCUGGCCUCUCUCCCAGUCGCUGCGUGAUGAUUAGUGAGAAGAACAAUGAAAUGCUCACUUUGAUUUAAAUGUCAUGGGACCAGAGUGCUUAGCCUGUCUUGUUAUGCAAUCUUAAUUUCUCUCGCAUCAAAGUGCUCAGGUUUCAGAUUCCUUCCCCAGCUUCCCCCUACAUUGGGGUCAGGGUGCAUGGAUGGACAAGGACAGCUGUGUGACAUCUGUCAGGAGGAAGGGGUUGGGAUCCUGGGUGUGGUGUCUGCUGAUUUCCUGGCAGGGCCUUGGUUUCCCUUUCUCACCCUGCCCCCCUUACCAUCUCAAACUGAUUCCCCUUGCAGAGAGUUUGCCCUGGGUUGUGGGCUAAUCCAAGCCCCACCAGCUCUGGCCCCUCUCUCCUGUGGGGUCUCCUAGCUAUGCAGCUGUGCGCCUGGCAGGCCUGGCGGCUUACAGCUCAGCAGCCAGGCCGCUGGGUGGGAACCUGGAGCCCUGCUGUGGUGGCGGAGGCGGUGGUUCUGGGCAGCCUGGGUGAUCUUCUGUAGAGCUCCAAGGCCCACAAGGGACCAGGUCCCUCUCCCAGGCAGGGUGAGCUGGACAGACAUGGCCCCUUAGGUCCUGUUGGUGGCCUUCUUCCUAGUUGGCUUGCCACCAUCCCCCAAGAUGAGGACUGAAACUGUUCUGCCCUGACAUCCAUUCCAUAAAAAUUCCCAGUCAUGGGGCUGGGGAUUUAGCUCAACGGCAUAAGCACCUGCCUUGCAAGCAGGCGGACGUAAGUUCAAUCCCUGAUACCGAUUUAAAAAAAAAAAAAAAAUUCCCAGUCACACCCAAGGAGAGAUGCAGGGUUCCAGAACAUAUGUUCUCAAGAGGAGAGCCUGGUUUACCAGACUGCCGGCUCACAGCAUAAGCCUAUUUUGUAAGACUGAUGCCAAACAUUACCAUGCUUUUUCUCUCUUUUUUUCUUUUUCUGUCUUAUUGUUGUUUGUUUGUUUUUGAGGCAGGAUUUUGAUAUGUAGUCCAGUCUAACCUUGAACUCUUGGUGAUCCUCCUGCGUCAGCCUCCUGAGUUCUGGGACUACAGGUAUGCGCCACCAUGCAUGGCCCACAAUGUUUUUUUCUAUCAAAUCCCACUUUCUCUUGAAGCAGAGAUUGUUUCCGAAAGCUUGCGAAGAAGAUGAAGCUCAUGGGGUCUGCAUCAAGGCAAAAGAGAAAAACUCAGUCCACAGAUUUUCAAAUGCCGCACCUGAAAUGGUUCCAAGAGUGGAUGAUGGAACCGAAGAAACCAUAACAGGUACACAGUGGGUGCCUCAUCCACAAGGAAACUUCACCUUUGUGCUGGGAUGAGACUUCGUCUUCCUGGGGAAGGUGCACAGUGAGACAGUUGCCACUCGGGUUACAGGAGGAUCACACUGUGGAAAGGAUUCCUGGUGCAGGAGGAAUCCUUUUGGGAGAGAUAUCAGCCCAAUGCCAGAAAGGAAGGCUGUGAUUGAUGGAUGAAAGGAAGACUGGGAUUGGUGGGCUCUGGUCCCACCCCUCACGUGCCGUUUCCAAUUAGAGAAAAGAAGAUGGAGGCAAUGGCCACACCUCACCCUGGGAAAACCUCCUUCUUGAUGCUGGCAUCUCCCCUUCCAGCACUGUUGUUUCUGCAAAAAGCUUCCGUGGAAGAAAAGGCAAAGGAAAAUCCAGGAGCUGCUGGUAAACCACUGUUUCAAGUAAAGACGGAGCCAAGGGUGUGGCUGAAAAACCUGUCUUAAUGCCUUGGAACAAUUUAGGCACCUCUUGUAGACUGUUUGGCAGUCACCAGUGCUUCCGGGAAUCUUAGGCUGUACCUCUUAGAUCCUCCCCCGGACCACGCAGCGUGCUGGUGUAAGGAGACAAAGGCCUUGCUGCAAGAAUUGGAGCUGUGCCUUUUGUCCACCAGAGCAGGCUAUAGUCUGAUGCAUAAGAAACCCAUGAAGCUUUUGAAAGCAGCUCUUCUGCGCGGAAUCUCCUGAAGCUGAGUUUCUCCUCUCUCUGCUCAUCUCCCAUGGAUCAACUGCAAGCCUCUGGUGUUUCCUCACACACACUCGCAAGACUUCUCAGAGACUCUGGGAGACAGGAGGAGGGCUGCUAAGGCACGGCUUCGGGGCUGCUGCCUCGGGUGCCAGUCCUGCUUGUCCGCCUCACUGUCCCUCCCUCUCUCUGCUUCUUCCUUCAUGUUUCUCUGCAUCGCCUUCCCGUCUUGUGCUCUUUCUCCCUGACCCAAGUGAAGGGGGCUAAACGUGACUUGGUGUAUCAGACUCUGCAUGCCGUAAGCCCAGAUGCGCUUUCAAGGAUGUUGCUGUGCAACUGCCUGUGUCUAGUUUGGGGCGAGACAGAGCUCAGGAGACCUGAUAGGCAGUGAGAGCUGAGCUUUCCUCUUUGCAGCACUAGGAUUGAAUCCAGGGCUUUUGCACUGAGCUGAAUUUCCAGCUGUUUUUUUAUUUUGAGACUGAAUCCUGCUGAGUUGCUAAACUGCCCGGGCUGAACUUAAACUUUGUGACCCUCCUCCUUCAGCCUCUCAGAGUACUGGGAUUACGGGCCUGCAUCACCGCUCCCACCUGGGAGCUUGGUUUUCUGGCUACUCCAACCCUUGCUUCCUGUAAAAGGAAUGCAAAUCCACAGCACAGGGUUGUAUAGAUACCAUCAUAGUCUCCCUUCAACUCUGCCCUUUGGGGUCUAGGUCCAAGUCUCGGGAUCGAUGCCCUUUGAAGACUCAAGGGAUGGCAGGCCCAACCAGAGCCAGGAAUAUACACUUCAAAGGUUGAGCCGUCUCUCUUUUCCCUUGGCCACUGUGAUCUUUGUCACUUUCCUCCCCUGGGAGUAUCUGGAGGGCCUGGCCAUGGAGAAAGAUGAAGGCAGAAUUGCUGGCUCAAGGUCCAUGCAUAUAAUAAAGGCGCCUCCCAGCUCCACCUAAAGAAUGCAUGGUGUGCGGUCACUCACGCACAUCCCUAGGGCAGCAGACUUCCCGCCACCAACCAUCUCUUAGUGCAAAGCCAGCAUCUUUUCCAUCUGUGUUGAAGCUGCGGCCUAUGAAAUUGUGUCUAUAAAAACAGAAUUGCAAGUAAAAAUAUCAAAUGCAGUAAGUUAUAGCUGCACAGUUUCUCUCCUGAGGGAUGCCCUGGUCAGAGAGCAUCCAACGUUCCCCUCUAGGAUGUUGGCUUGUGUUUCCUCAGAAAGCGCCCCACUGGUCCUGGGAAGAAAGGGCCUGGAUGACGGAAGUCUAUUCAGUAGAGCUGUGGUGCUUGGCUGGCCGUACCUGCCUGGCAUCUUAAUUUUUCUUCCAAAGCAGAGUUGUUCAGCUGCAAAAUGAAGGCAAAAAAGGAGUCUGCCCAGGGGAGCAUUGCUGGCCGGCUUCCAUCACGACAGUCGCCACCCUCGUCGUCAGCCCUCUGCCACAAGUCAAGACCCUGCACCGUCUUUUUACCCGAUGUAGCUCAUGCAUCACUUCCUGGUGUCAGAUAAGCGCUAGGGGGAGGGGGAACCUAGGAGAGUGAUGAUGUGACAGAGAUGGAGGCUUAAAUUCUCCAGGGAGAUACAGGUAGCUGUGUAAAAAAUUUAGAACCAAAGGAAAGUUAUCAAGACAAAAAGAACUGAAGAAUUCUCCCAGAGUUCAAAGAGAGACAGAAAAAUGGAUGAGAGGGAGCAUCUUUAUCAUCCCAGCACUCAGGAGGCUGAGGCAGUAGGGUCUUGAGUUUGAGGCCAGCCUGAGCUACAUAGCAAGACCUUACUGCACACAAAACAAGACAAAACAAGAAGACAAAAUGAAAAUGAAAACAGAGAGACAGAGAUAGAGACAGACAGAGACUUGUAGAAGGAAGUGGAUUUUACUCUGGACCUAUGGAAACAAAACAGGGAAAGGCCCCUCUGGAAGAGAAAUGGACACAGAGAUGGGAAUGAGAAUUGAAUUCAGCUGAGCUGUACCCCAAGGAUUCUGAGGCACAGAUAGGACAGCGGGUUGAGGGGCGGCUGGGAUGAGAUCAAGGAACAGGAAGCAUAAAAGAGAACCCACUUAGCCUGAGGCUCGUGGCCUUUUCCCUGGUGGAGAGGUGGAGGAGCACCGGAGCCACUGAGCUGUGGGAGGGCGGUGGGUGCUGGACACAGUCCCUCUGUGGGUGGUCGGGCCCUGUGAAGAGUCUCUCCAUACUCUCUUCCCUAAAAGGUGCCCAGUCCCCCUCACUUCCCACAGGGUAGUUAAAAAAUUCAACACCAAUUUUGAGUGCUUGCCAUAUGCUUUAAGUCCUACUCUUUUGUACUUUGUCCCCUUGCCUUAAGUGUGUGAGUGUGUGUAUGUUUGUGCACACUACACCCCUACACUUUACCUCAGUGCAAACACAAGCACGAGAGCCUUCCUAAAAGUGGCUUUUGCUCCAGAAAGGUGUGGAGUGUGUCAUUGUCACCUCCCGUGGCCACCUUGCCCUUCUCUGUGGAAGCAGUCAGUGUGACCUGCAGUGGUGGUCAGGAGAGAAGCCCAGGGCUCCAGACAAGGGCAUCCCUGAGUGUCAGUGGCAGGAAGACCAGGCUGCCCAUGUCUUAGGGCAUUGUGGCCUCUGUGCUUGGUGCCAAGGGGAAGCUGGCCUCACCUCACCUUCCCGGUGAUUCGGAUGGGAAUCACUGGGGUUGCAUUGGAGGAGGAAUUUCCCAGCUCUUGUCAAAUCCUUUACUUGGCCGGGGUGACCAGGCUGGGCCCAGGGCUCUGACAUAGCUCAUUCUCUCUGGGCCCAGCCGGGAAAAUGUGAGAGCUCUGCAGAGGGAGGAGAAUGGUCCAGUUGUCAGUUGGGGUUGGGCACUGACCCUCUUUCUCUGGCAGGCGUUUGGGAGUCAGAGCUUGGAUCUCUCCUCCACCCUGCAGAGAUGGAGUGCCAAUCCAAGGAGCCGGGAACUGUGGGAGAAAAGGGCUGGUGACCCUUCCUGCCUCCCUGUCUGGUCCUUAUUCUCCUGAGACAGGCAGCGAGCGCUCUUCCGAGCUGUGCUGGCAGCCGGGCUGCAUUUGUGGGAGGUGGUGUUUAUGUGAACGCACAAAUGUUUAUGUGAGAUUGCCAGCCGGUUAUUUAUGAGCCUCUCGGCCUUCCCCCAAUAAAAGCUGUUCCUUCAAUGUCCUGACAGGCCCUGCAUCUGCAA